rnacentral:rRNA from 1 species
UUCUUUAUCACCGAGUGCUUGCACUCACCGAUAAAGAGUUGAGUGGCGAACGGGUGAGUAACACGUGGGCAACCUGCCCAAAAGAGGGGGAUAACACUUGGAAACAGGUGCUAAUACCGCAUAACCAUAGUUACCGCAUGGUAACUAUGUAAAAGGUGGCUAUGCUACCGCUUUUGGAUGGGCCCGCGGCGCAUUAGCUAGUUGGUGGGGUAAAGGCUUACCAAGGCAAUGAUGCGUAGCCGAACUGAUAGGUUGAUCGGCCACAUUGGGACUGAGACACGGCCCAAACUCCUACGGGAGGCAGCAGUAGGGAAUCUUCCACAAUGGGCGAAAGCCUGAUGGAGCAACGCCGCGUGGGUGAAGAAGGUCUUCGGAUCGUAAAACCCUGUUGUUAGAGAAGAAAGUGCGUGAGAGUAACUGUUCACGUUUCGACGGUAUCUAACCAGAAAGCCACGGCUAACUACGUGCCAGCAGCCGCGGUAAUACGUAGGUGGCAAGCGUUAUCCGGAUUUAUUGGGCGUAAAGGGAACGCAGGCGGUCUUUUAAGUCUGAUGUGAAAGCCUUCGGCUUAACCGGAGUAGUGCAUUGGAAACUGGGAGACUUGAGUGCAGAAGAGGAGAGUGGAACUCCAUGUGUAGCGGUGAAAUGCGUAGAUAUAUGGAAGAACACCAGUGGCGAAAGCGGCUCUCUGGUCUGUAACUGACGCUGAGGUUCGAAAGCGUGGGUAGCAAACAGGAUUAGAUACCCUGGUAGUCCACGCCGUAAACGAUGAAUGCUAAGUGUUGGAGGGUUU